GCGUAGGUAACCUGCCUUGUAGCGGGGGAUAACUAUUGGAAACGAUAGCUAAUACCGCAUAACAAUGGAUGACACAUGUCAUUUAUUUGAAAGGAGCAAUUGCUCCACUACAAGAUGGACCUGCGUUGUAUUAGCUAGUAGGUGAGGUAAUGGCUCACCUAGGCGACGAUACAUAGCCGACCCGAGAGGGUGAUCGGCCACACUGGGACUGAGACACGGCCCAAACUCCUACGGGAGGCAGCAUG
rnacentral:rRNA from 1 species